rnacentral:rRNA from 1 species
AAGUCUGCUGUCAAAGGUCGGGGCUUAACUCCGGAAAGGCAGUGGAAACUGAGGAGCUAGAGUGCGGUAGGGGUAGAGGGAAUUCCCGGUGUAUCGGUGAAAUGCGUAGAGAUCGGGAAGAACAUCGGUGGCGAAAGCGCUCUACUGGGCCGCAACUGACACUCAGGGACGAAAGCUAGGGGAGCGAAUGGGAUUAGAUACCCCAGUAGUCCUAGCUGUAAACGAUGGAUACUAGGUGUAGCUUGUAUCGACCCGAGCUGUGCCGAAGCUAACGCGUUAAGUAUCCCGCCUGGGGAGUACGCACGCAAGUGUGAAACUCAAAGGAAUUGACGGGGGCCCGCACAAGCGGUGGAGUAUGUGGUUUAAUUCGAUGCAACGCGAAGAACCUUACCCAGGUUUGACAUGUGGCUGCAAGCGCACAGAAAUGUGUGACCUUCGAGGGUGCCACACAGGUGCUGCAUGGCUGUCGUCAGCUCGUGUCGUGAGAUGUUGGGUUAAGUCCCGCAACGAGCGCAACCC